rnacentral:rRNA from 1 species
GACGUAGGGCGCGAGCGUUGUCCGGAUUUAUUGGGCGUAAAGAGCUCGUAGGCGGCUUGUCGCGUCGUGUGUGAAAUCUCAGGGCUCAACUCUGACAUUGCAUACGAUACGGGCAGGCUUGAGUUCGGUAGGGGAGACUUGGAAUUCCUGGUGUAGCGGUGAAAUGCGCAGAUAUCAGGAGGAACACCGGUGGCGAAGGCGGGUCUCUGGGCCGAUACUGACGCUGAGGAGCGAAAGCGUGGGGAGCGAACAGG